rnacentral:rRNA from 1 species
UACGGAGGGGGCUAGCGUUGUUCGGAAUUACUGGGCGUAAAGCGCACGUAGGCGGCUUGGUAAGUUAGAGGUGAAAGCCUGGAGCUCAACUCCAGAACUGCCUUUGAUACUGGAAGUCUUGAGUUCGGGAGAGGUGAGUGGAACUGCGAGUGUAGAGGUGAAAUUCGUAGAUAUUCGCAAGAACACCAGUGGCGAAGGCGGCUCACUGGCCCGAUACUGACGCUGAGGCACGAAAGCGUGGGGAGCAAACAGG